rnacentral:rRNA from 1 species
AUUGAACGCUGGCGGCAGGCCUAACACAUGCAAGUCGAGCGGAUGAAGGGAGCUUGCUCCUGGAUUCAGCGGCGGACGGGUGAGUAAUGCCUAGGAAUCUGCCUGGUAUUGGGGGAUAACGUCCGGAAACGGGCGCUAAUACCGCAUACGUCCUGAUGGAGAAAGGGGGGGAUCUUCGGACCUCACGCUAUCAGAUGAGCCUAGGCCGGAUUAGCUAGUUGGUGGGGUAAAGGCCUACCAAGGCGACGAUCCGUAACUGGUCUGAGAGGAUGAUCAGUCACACUGGAACUGAGACACGGUCCAGACUCCUACGGGAGGCAGCAGUGGGGAAUAUUGGACAAUGGGCGAAAGCCUGAUCCAGCCAUGCCGCGUGUGUGAAGAAGGUCUUCGGAUCGUAAAGCACUUUAAGUUGGGAGGAACGGCAGUAAGUUAAUCCCUUGCUGUUUUGACGUUACCAACAGAAUAAGCACCGGCUAACUUCGUG